rnacentral:tRNA from 1 species
GGUGGAAUAGCCAAGUGGUAAGGCACAGCUCUGCAAAAGCUGCAAACGCAGGUUCGAUUCCCGCUUCCACCUCCC